rnacentral:rRNA from 1 species
GACGAACCGUGCGAACGUUAUUCGGAAUCACUGGGCUUAAAGCGCGUGUAGGCGGGUCGGCGCGUCGGACGCUGAAAUCCCCCGGCUCAACCGGGGAAGUGGGGCCGAUACGGCCGGCCUGGAGGGACGUAGGGGGGGCUGGAACUUCCGGUGGAGCGGUGAAAUGCGUUGAGAUCGGAAGGAACGCCCGUGGCGAAAGCGAGCCCCUGGACGUCUACUGACGCUGAGACGCGAAAGCCAGGGGAGCGAACGGG